rnacentral:lncRNA from 1 species
GUCAAUCACUUAGGAGGGGGGCGGGGGGGGCGGGGCUGCAGCCCUUCCACCCUGUUCUCCAGCUACCUGCCAGCUAGACACAAACCCAUCGUGAAGUUCAAACACUGGGUUCUGAGUUGGAGAGAUGGAGGUGGAGCGGACUUCUUAGAGAAGACAAGGAGCCCUCAGUUAGAUUGUCCUAAAUUAAUGGGGCUUUUGAGCAUCGUCACCAGUCCUGGCUCAUUCAUUUCUACAAAAUCCAGCUACCAUGCUCUUCCACAAAUAGAAGAUUUCAGCCAUCAAACAGCACGGGCUACAGAUACAGGGGUAAUAUGCACAAAUCCGAAGCCUCUUCAAAGAUUCCACGUGGGAAAGGGAGAAUGGAGUGGUAGCAUUUGCUUAGCAUCCUCCUCUUUAUUACCCAACCAUGGAAUUGUGACUCAGAUCAUACAGACAAGGGAGCUAAGAAAGCGCACUCCUGGCUUCCACUCCUCGAUCUUCAGUAAUGCUCAGAGACACAACGUUUUUCUCCGCAAGUCCUCCUUCAAACACAAAAUAGAUUGCAUUUGUUGUAUCUGGGAGGCAGUUCUUCACCACUGUUGUAGGUAUUUGUAUUUACUAAUUCACCCUGCAUGGCUUUGUAACUAAACUGAAUAGGACACAGAAUUCUCUAUGGAAAAAUAGCCAUCUUUCAGAAGAAUGAUAACAAAUAAUUUAAUCUGGCAAAUGCACUCAAGAUCUACUUUGGUUCAUCAUGGCCAUGCCUGUACAUAAUUUCUUUGGGCCCAAUUUGAAAGGAGGAGGGAGCUGUUCUCGCAGCUAUCUCAACCCUAUCAGACCCAUCAACCCCUUUUUGAAACUAGUAUUUUUAACACUCCCCUUACUGUCUUGAAAUGAAAUUCAUAGACGAUAUUAAUUACCUAUGCAAAUUGCCCAAGACAUCAGUAUAAUGUCCUAAUUAUAUAAUAAAGGAAAAUAACUUGUAAUUAAUUUCAUAUUAGAAGGCAAAGUAAAUAGUAAGAUGCUUAUACCUGUAUGUAGAACCAUUGCAAAUGAGAGAACUAUAAGUGUAGACCAAUAUAAGUGUGUUAUAUUCGCAACCCAAAUAUCAACAUGGGCGUUGUCAGACGUGGCAUGAUUUUGUGAAAGGCUGAACAGUUUUUGGUCAAGUUCCAAACAAAAUAAAGAGCAAGGGGGUGGGCUAGAAUUAUUGACGUGGGUGCAUUUACCAUAAAGCCUGGAUUUAAUGUGUUAGUUCAUACACUGAAAGUGACUCUGGUGGUUUGUUGAAUUGGUUAGCUAAAACUCAGACCCAUUGGUGGUCUAUAUUCAAUGAGACUGAGAUGCUAAAAUGUCCCUGAUAUAAUGUAGAGGAAGAAAUCCAAAGGUUCAUGGAGCUGGCAAUGCUGGAGUGAUUUUAUAUAUAAUGUAUAUACCCAACCCUAAACUAUAUACCGCUAGCGGCCCAGAUGACCGUGUCUACACUAAGGCACUGAAAAAGACUUUAGUGAGAGGAACACCAGAAAAGCUCUGUAGUAGCUGAAUUUGAUCGCAGAAUAGGCCUUCAUUGAAAUUGCUCCCUCAUUUCCAUGAGAGUGGAAUCACGGGAUCGCAAUGGCAAAGUGACAGCGCUUAACUUUCAGGGACAGAGUGGACAGACACAUUUACUGCACCAGGCAGCAGGGGCAACAUAGGACUCAAAGGUCUUCACCUAUGGGGAUGUUUAGUAAUGCUCUGGGUGGCCCAAGGAAUGCUAUAGAUGGACAGAGUUCUGAAAUAUUCCUUGAUCUCUAUAACAGGUUCACUGCCUGAAACUUGACUUGAGCCAUCAAAAUUAAAAGUCAUCCUUCUCAACCAAUUUUCAGACCUCAGUCAGUUCAGAGACCCUUUGGUUGAAAGGGAGGCUGAUCCCCUUAAGGAUAGAAAACCAAAAGCAAUACCAAAUCCCUGGAGAGAUGUAAAAAUUAGUACCAGCAUUAAAGAUGCGGAUGAUACUGUCGCUUCUCCCAUUCAACUCGCCUGUUUGGCCUAUGAAUCUGAGAGAAUUAUUAUGAAUUGUUGUAAACUUAAUCAGAUGGUAAAGCCAGUUGCAACCGCAGUUCUAUAUGUGCCAUCUUCACUGCAGCAAAUCAACACAAUCCUAAGUACCCGGUAUACAUCUACUGAUAGGGCAAGUGCUUUCUAUCUUCCAAUUUGCGCCAAAAGCUGUUCUCUUCUCUAUGGCAAGGCCAACAGUUCACCUUCAUAGUCUUUAUGGGAUGUAAACUCUCCUGCUCUCUGCCAUCAUCUGGUCUGCAGAGAAUUUGAUCACUAUAUUAAAGACAUCAAGGGUCAAUCCUGAGAGCCACUGUACUCUAGUGAUAAUAGCCUAUGAUUUCAGUAAAUCUGCCCAAUUUACUAUAUCAC